rnacentral:tRNA from 1 species
GAUUUAUUAGCUCAAUUGGUAGAGCAUUCGGUCAUUAACCGACGAUUUGGGUUCAACUCCCAAAUAAAUCA